UUAAUGACUGAAUCAUUUAUUCUUAAAUUAAAUAUAUUAUCUACUAAUUUGAUUGAUAAUUUUAUAGAGACGAUGUGCCCACAAUGCUGCAAAUCAGGCGAGAUAGAUCGUGCCGCAUUGUAGAAGUUCGAGAUCGUUCGCUCGUCACAUGAAGCACAUAGUAGAUAAUUUUUAAUUUUAAUUAAUAUAUAAUUCUUUAGUUAUUUAAAAUUUUUUAAUUAAUUCUCAAAUUACAGAGAGAUGCUGAGAGUGGUGAGUUUUCUGGUAGAAUCGAUAUCUACCAGCGAAUCCAUCAGCGG
rnacentral:lncRNA from 1 species